rnacentral:rRNA from 1 species
GACGAACGCUGGCGGCGUGCUUAACACAUGCAAGUCGAACGGGAUCCGGGCUUUCGGGUUUGGUGAGAGUGGCGAACGGGUGAGUAACACGUGAGUAACCUGCCCCCUUCUUUGGGAUAACGUCGGGAAAUCGGCGCUAAUACUGGAUAUUCUUGCUGCAUCGCAUGGUGUGGUUUGGAAAGGGUUUCUGGUGGGGGAUGGGCUCGCGGCCUAUCAGCUUGUUGGUGGGGUGAUGGCCUACCAAGGCUUUGACGGGUAGCCGGCCUGAGAGGGUGUCCGGGCACACUGGGACUGGGACACGGCCCAGACUCCUACGGGAGGCAGCAGUGGGGAAUAAUGCACAAUGGGCGCAAGCCUGAUGCAGCGACGCCGCGUGAGGGAUGACGGCCUUCGGGUUGUAAACCUCUUUCAGUAUGGAACAAGGAUCCUUCUUUUGGGGGGUUUGAGGGUACGUGCAGAAGAAGCGCCGGCUAACUACGUG